AAGAGAUCGGGAUAACACCUGGAAACAGAUGCUAAUACCGGAUAACAACAGAUGAUGCCUAUCAACUGUUUAAAAGAUGGUUCUGCUAUCACUCUUGGAUGGACCUGCGGUGCAUUAGCUAGUUGGUAGGGUAACGGCCUACCAAGGCGAUGAUGCAUAGCCGAGUUGAGAGACUGAUCGGCCACAUUGGGACUGAGACACGGCCCAAACUCCUACGGGAGCAGCAGUC
rnacentral:rRNA from 1 species